GUCUUUUUGAGAUUUAUUUAAAGUCUAGUCUGCCCACUGAUAAAUUAAAUGGCCGCAGUACUCUAACUGUGCAAAGGUAGCAUAAUCAUUAGUCUUUUAAUUGAAGGCUGGUAUGAAUGGCUGGACGAAAUAUUUACUGUUUCAUAAAAAUUUUUAAAGAAUUUUAUUUUUUAGUCAAAAAGCUAAAAUAUAAUUAAAAGACGAGAAGACCCUAUAAAGCUUUAUAUAAAAUUACUUAAUUUAUAACAAGAUUAUUUAAUCAAUUGAGUAAUUUUAUAUUUUAUUGGGGUGAUAGUAAAAUUUAAUAAACUUUUAUAAAUAAAGUCAUUUAUUUAUGAAUUAUUGAUCCAUUAAUAAUGAUUAAAAAUUUAAGUUACUUUAGGGAUAACAGCGUAAUCUUUUUGGAGAGUUCAUAUCGAUAAAAAGGAUUGCGACCUCGAUGUUGGACUAAGGAAUAUCUUAG
rnacentral:rRNA from 1 species